CCGAGCGCUCAUUGGGCGCAUGCUAAACAGGUCCACGCUUGUGGAUGCUGAUUGGCCAGGAAAAGCACUAGCAACAACGAGAGAUAAGCUUUGUGAUUGGAGGAUAAAUUAUACAGAGGAGUGGCGUUGAGCUCCGAGGUGUUGGUUGCAGCCAGCCUUUAUAUGGUUUUCAACUAUUCAGAAACCUACAUUCCAACACCAGUUUGUAAUACCUACCAACAAUACGCACUACCGUAUGGAAAAUCCAUAAAUCAUCUAAAGCUAGUAGCAUACAGUAUGUUUGGCAAUGUUGCUCCCAAUGUAUCCUUGGACCCCACAGAUUUAUAAGAACAAUUAUAUUUACAAUGAUGUCAGCAUAAUCUUUCUUUGGGAGCUUUUCCGGUACGCCAUUUGAACACGUUUUUUUUUUACUUUACACAAUGCAUGUACAAAUAUACAUGUUGCCAUUCACAUACUGCAGAACUCACCUGUAAUGUUCAGGGGAACCUGGCAACGACUGAUGUCCACAGUGCUGGUUCCCUCUGGGGAAGGUGAGGCCCCUGGAGAGCCCGCGCGGAGCAGAGACGGGCGCGGGAGCAGCCUAAACAACCAUUAGGAUAAUUAAAACACAGGUUGCUGCACCGCUUGCCUUGAGGCAGGCUGUAGAAAACAGAGCUCUGUUUUGCUGCUAUGCUGACACCUGGUGGGUGUAAUGAUCAACGUCAAUCCACAUGACAAUUGACCAACAUGAGGACUAUUUUAAGAGAACUCUGGACCCCACUGAAGACCUCUAGUCCUGGACUGCGGUAUUUAACUGUAGCCACUAAUCCUUUGAGUUCACUUGAAUUAUGCUGCCAUGCAGUAGAUGAUUUUAGGGCACUAGAUUAGCAACCCCAUAACUUUACCAAUAUGACUCUUCUAAUUAGAUGUUUUUCCUGUAAUGUUUAUUUUCUGUCAACAUGUCGUGUCCCCUGGUUCAAAUUGUUCUGUUUGGCCACAGUAUAGUGACAUGUUUGUGUUCUUUUGAAACCACACAAGUUGGUUUGUUUAAUCGUAACUCUCAGUGAAAUAUAACUACGGAUAAUUAGCUAUAUCUUGUUAAACUUGAGGCAUAUACUUUAAAAUGAAAAUAAACUUUGAAUUAAGUAAUAGAGAUUAAUAAAUAAGGCCUCACACUUGUUUAUCUGCUAGUGAUGUACUUACAAGAGUUGGCCAAGAGAUGGCGCUCUAGGACCUUUGUUUUUAAGGCGCCAGACGGAAGAUAGUCACCGUUGACUCUGUUGUACUACCACCCUCUACUUUACUCUG